rnacentral:rRNA from 1 species
UACGUAGGUGGCAAGCGUUGUCCGGAUUUACUGGGCGUAAAGAGCGCGCAGGCGGUCGUUCAAGUCGCGUGUGAAAGCCCCCGGCUCAACUGGGGAGGGUCACGCGAUACUGGUCGACUCGAAGGCAGGAGAGGGUAGUGGAAUUCCCGGUGUAGUGGUGAAAUGCGUAGAUAUCUGGAGGAACACCGGUGGCGAAGGCGGCAUCCUGGACCGACACUGACGCUGAGGCGCGAAAGCUAGGGUAGCAAACGGG